UUUAAAUUGUCUUAUCAGCACACCGGUUUUUCUAUUUCUUUUUUUGUUUGUUUGUUUUUCAGAAAUAUGUCUGAGUUUUUCAUAAAUGGGGAAGAAGAAAAGAACAUCAGAACAAAAAUAGUCCAAAUGUGCAGGUACCUAUAAUUAUUGGAACAGGAGUCAUGCAAUACACAUUUGGUUAACAUAGAAAAACAAAGAUAAAGGCGUACAACUAAUCAGGUCACAAAGUCAGUGAGAAAAGAAAAAAGCUGGAUGCACCAACAACUCUUCAGUCACAUCACUCACUGAAUAAUCGUUGUCCUUCAUGUAGAUAAUGAAACAACCCCAUACUUAAUGGAAAAGAUCAUGUCUGAUUUUGAGAAUAGCAGAGGUUUUUUUUUCAGGGUUAAGCAAGAAGUUAGUUCCUCAAACCCUUCUGUGAUACAGGGUUUAUCCAUAAAUUCCCAGGUUUCUUGAAUGUCUUGAUUGAAUUUGCUUCACUUUUCUGAGGUGGGCGUCAUGCAGAUUGAAACCACUUCAGACUAUAUUCUCUUUGUAGAAGUCUAAUCCUCCCACAAUGAGUUGAUCUUUUCAGUGAUAAUAAAGGGAAUUUAGAGGAUGUUGUGCAA